UUCAGGUAUUCAUAACUCUUCAUGAUCGCCGGAUCAUUACUCAUGCACAACCAUCGCAGUCAUGUUCAGAGCUGAAUAAACGAAGUACAUCGUGACUUGAGCAGCGCCGCUUGUACAUAGAUUCUCCUUCAGUCAUUGCAGCAGCCUUAUCACCUACAACGUACCUAUGGUUUUCAUCGUCAUCGUCUUAGUACCGCUUGCUGAGCUGAAUUUUUCUAAUGGUCGCUGCGCCCAAUCGUCAUUGAGCACUGAGAGGAAUUUCUUACCAGAGCCGAGAACAGUAGAGUCCCACUCGACGAGUUUUGCUGCUUUGGUUACUCGAAUCAAAUUAAUGAACGAAUUUUGCCUACCACCCCCACCGCUCUUUAAUUUCUCAGUGGAACGAGGGGAAAUUUCCUGCUAUCGAAUUGAACGCUCUGCUUUUGAAAUUUCAACUUUGAAAAAUAUCUUUCGUCACUUUUCUGUGAAAAUGAAAUCAUUGUGCCCUGAUGUAACUUUGUCCUGAACAAAUGUCGACCCACGUUUCCGGUAAAAUAGGAUUUUCGCCUUUUCCUUCGUCCGUUUGUUGUAUUCGAUUCUCAACAUUCCGUUGAAAUUGUAUUUGUAUUAUUCUGUUUCGUAAAUUAGCGCGUUUAAUUCCCGCCUACCUUCCGCCAUCCAUCCUAAUCCCAAUACGAAUUGUUACCCCCCCCCCCCGCUCUUCACACUCAAAUCACUUGUCUCGCGUUACUUAAAUAUCUAAUGAUAUGUUGACUAUACUUUCGCCCUCUAACUCCUUCCCACAGAAUUUUUCGCUUAGCUUUUGUAACUUGGUGGUUUCUUUUUCUUGAAAUUUUUGUGGGUAUUUCAUUUUUUUUAAAUUCAUUUUUUUCAUGUUUGAUCGUGGAAAUCAGCUUUCAUCAUUCGUUUUGAUAUUUAUGAUUUUCUGAUUCAUUUUGGAUUUACAAAAACUGAUGAUUAAUCGAAAAAUUUCGGGUGGUUGGUUGUUAGGGAAGGUGUUUCACGGUUAUUUGAACUAAUUGACAUCAUGGAACGUGGUCGUGGGGUUAUUAUUUUUGGUUAGAUAGGCUGCAAGUUUGACUUACAACCUGGUAUCGUAACAGUUGCGGAUCAAAACUUUUUUUUUUUUCAAAAGAGAAAUGUUGGCUUGUAGUGCUGGUGAUGAGUUUAUGUAGGGUAUUUGUGUGCAGAUGGAAGUUGCGUGGCGGCGGUGGUGAGUGUUGGUAGGGGAUGCGGUUGUGGCUGGUCUUGUUAAGUUUUGUCCCAUGCUCGCCUGUUAAGCAUCAACCCACAACUGUACAUUUUUGCAUCGCGAUUUUUUGAAAAUUUCUCUUCUGUUAGCUUCUAGGUUAAGAAAACGCAUCCGCGGGUACGGGCUCUCGCCCAAGGAUCCGUCAGUCAGCAGGGCUGGUGAAAACUGUACAGGGUGUCAGGGGCUGAGAUUCGUUACUAACGAUUCGAGGGAAACCUGGCACUCACCCCAGCGAGGGGUAGUCGUAAUAGGCUGGUACAGGAAUUAGCGUUUGCGUUUCUGUCUAGUGGUAGUUCCGGUUUAUCAAAGAUGGAGCAGGGAUGGUUAAUGUUACCCUCACAACCGUGAUAUUGGCCAUUCUUGCAGUCGAGGAUGACCUGCCUCGGUUGGUUCGCCAGAUCUGCCUGCGAACCAACCGCACGUACAGUAAGUGGUGCACUCUAGGUUUUGCAUAUGCUUGCUUGCGUGAAAUGUGAGUCAAGUUUUUUUGAGAGAAAUUUGACAUUUCAAAGGCUGACCUGGUUUUGUUGCUUCGGUCAACUUGCCAGGCAGGUGAGCGUGUGUGAAAAGGCGUAUGGUGAUUUGGACUGCGUACGAUGUCUGGUUGUGAUUGAAUUUGUGUUUUGUAAAAUUCGAAUGAAAAAAUUAAAGUUGCGGAGUAUUUGAUCGUGUUGUAAUGAAAAACAUCCUUGAAAAUAACGUACCUAAUUUCGUAAUGUGAAUUAUUUCGCGAUGAUUAGAUGCGGGAAGGGUGGAUUGAUUUCGUAAUGUUUAAUCCGGUAUACAAAAAUAUUGAAUGAAUCAAUAUUAUUUCAAUCAUUCCAUACCUCUAGUACCCUCCUCCCCCCGCCCACCUACACAAUCAUCUGGAAUAAUUAUCUUGAGUUCGAUUUGUUGUGAAUGAGCGCCGCUCUGUAUUGAAAGUUCGAAACCAAAAUUGGAAAAUUUGGUGGCGUUUCGUUUUCUAUUCAAGAUGUUCGAUUUACUUAUGCCAGUCUACUCGUUGUGUUACUUCGCCGUUGAAAUGUGCGUUUAUGGAAGUAGGAAGACCAAACAUGUUCAUAUCAGAUUUUCGAAUUGCUGGAUAUUUCGAUGCUAGUUUGAAAAUUAAGCCUAUGCAUAGAAUAUUGAAUCUAGCGCCCACAGUUACUCCACCAUUCUGCAGAGUGUUGAUAACUUUACCCAUCUUCAGCGAAUCUGACGGCGGUUUGCAUCUGCUCACAUGAGACUACUGAAACGUAUUUUAAUUCCGGCACCUGAAAUACUCACCUGAAGAUCUUCGUCGAACAUGUUUCAGUAGAGUUCGACGAGUACCCGGAUCCGCGAUUCUUACCCGGGUCUGAAAAUUAUCCGGUUCCGACCCGGGUAGUAAAAUUUUCAACAAAUGACGUCAUUUUGAGUAGUUCAAAUAAAUUCCGCUAGGGUCGCUAUAUAAAAAUGAAAUUCUUUCGUCAGUUUGAUUUGGCAACGUCGCAUUUUUCAUUGUUUUCCUUUUCCACUACCCGGUUCCGUACCCGGGUAGCCGAUUCCUUUACCGGGUUGAACCCGGAAAAUCGGCAAUCCGGGUACCCGUUGAACUCUAUGUUUCAGGUAUUCAUAACACGUCUUGAUUGCCGGAUCAUUACUCAUACGCAACCAUCGCAGUCAUGUUCAGAGCUGAAUAAACGAAGUACAUUGUGACUUGAGCAGCGUCGCUUGUACGUAUAGAUUCUCCUUCAGUCAUCGCAGCAGCCUCAUCAGCUACAAUGUACCUAUGUUUUUCAUCGUCAUCGUCUUAGUACCAUUUGCGGAACUGAAUUUUUCUGAUGGUUGCUGAACUCACUCGACGAUUUUUGCUGCUUUGGUUACUCGAAUCAAAUUAAUGAAUGAAUUUUGCCUACUACCCCCACCUUGUUAAUUUCUCAGUGAAACGAGGGGAAAUUUCCUGCUAUUGAAUCGAACGCUCUGCUUGUUAAAUUCAAACGUUGAAAAAUAUCUUUUGUCGCUUUCUGUGAAAAUGAAAUCAUUGUGUCCUGAUGUAACUUUGCCGUAAACAAAUUUCCACCCACAUUUCCAGUAAAAUAGGAUUUUCGCCGGUUCCUUCAUCCGUUUGUUGUAUUCGAUUCUCAACAUUCCGUUGAAGUUUUAUUCGUAUUAUUCUGUCGUGUAAAUUAGCGCGUUUAAUUCCCCCCCCCCUCCCUUCCGCCUACCCUCCCAAUACAAAUUGUUACCCCCCCCUUCCCACUCGAAUUGCUUGUCUCGCGUUAUUGAAAUAUCUAAUGAUAUGUUGACUUUACUUUCACCCUCCACCCCCCACAGAAUUUUUCGUUUAGCUUUUGUAACUUGGGGGUUUCGUUUUCUUGACAUUUUUGCGGGUACAUAUUUCAUUUUUUUUAAAUUCAUUUUUUUUGUGUUUUGGUUGCAAGUCGUAUUAUUUGCUCGUGGAAAUCAGCUUUCGUCGUUCGUUUUGAUAUUUAUGAUUUUCUGAUUCAUUUUGGGCUGUCGAUAUAUUGUUAUUUACAAAAACCGACGAUUAAUCGAAAAAUUUCGGGUGGUUGUUUGUUAGGGAAGGUGUUUCACGGUUAUUUGAACUAAUUGACAUCAUGAAACGUGGUCGUGGGGUUAUUAUUUUCGUUUAGAUAGGCUGCAAGUUUGAAUUACAACCUGAUAUCGUAGCAGUUGCGGAGCAAAACUUUUUUUUUUUCAAAAGAGAAAUGUUGGCUUGUAGUGCUGGUGAUGAGUUUAUGUAGGGUAUUUGUGUGCAGAUGGAAGUUGCGUGGCGGCGGUGGUGAGUGUUGGUAGGGGAUGCGGUUGUGGCUGGUCUUGUUAAGUUCUGUCCCGUGCUGGCCUGUUAAGCAUCAACCCACAACUGUACAUUUUGCAUCGCGAUUUUUUGAAAAUUUCUCUUCUGUUAGCUUCUAGGUUAAGAAAACGCAUCCGCGGGUACGGGCUCUCGCCCAAGGACCCGUCAGGUCGGGGGCCUGCUCAGUGGGCCGCGCUGGCAGAAAACUGUACGGAGUGCACAGGGGCCGAUGAUAUUCGUUAACGAGUUGAGGGAAACCUGGCACUCACUCCAACGAGGGGUAGUCGUAAUAGGCUGGUACAGGAAUGUAACGUUUGCGUUUCCAUCUAGCGGUUAUAGUCUGACUGUUUCUCGCGACCUUAGUUCCGGUUUAUCAAAGAUGGUGCAGGGAUGGUUAAUGUUGCCCCUCAAAAUCGACAAUAUUGCCAUUCUUGCCAUCGAGGAUUACCUGCCUCGGUUGGUUCGCCAGAUCUGCCUGCGAACCAACCGCACGUACAGUAAGUGGUGCACUCUAGGUUUUGCAUAUGCUUGCUUGCGUGAAAUGUGAGUCCAGUUAUUUUGAGAGAAAUUUGAAAUUUCAAAGGCUGACCGGGUUUUGUUGCUUCGGUCAACUUGCCAGGCAGGUGAGCGUGUGUGAAAAGGCGUAUGGUGAUCUGGACUGCGUACGAUGUCUGGUUGUGAUUGAAUUUGUGUUUUGUAAAAUUCGAAUGAAAAAAUUCAAGUUGCGGAGUACCUAUUUGAUCGUGUUGUAAUGAAAAACAUCCUUGAAAAUAACUUACCUAAUUUCGUAAUGUGAAUGAUUUCGCGAUGAUUAGAUGCGAGAAGGGUGGAUUUAUUUCGUAAUGUUUAAUCCUGUAUACAAAAAUAUUAAAAGAAUCAAUAUUUCAAUCAUUCCAAUUUCCAUACCUCUAGUACCCUCCCUCCCCCCACCAACCUACCUACCGAAUUUAUUUGUAUGUAAGUAGUUGGAACUGUUAUGUCUGUUUUUAGAAAAUAAGUUCGUAUUUUUGUCUUUUGUUGUGUAUGUUAUUGAUGUAUGUAGAUGUAUGUAGACGUACUACGUAGCCAUGUACGUACUUUGUUGUGUAAUUUUAUUGUUGAUGUAUUUGGUGAUCAAUAUUGUCAUGUCAUAACAUAUUCCAUCGUUGAUUUGAUAAGUGUAUCAUGUAUUGUAUUAAUUAUUUUCUAUUAAUAGUGGUAAAAUGUUCAUCUUCAAGCUCUCAUACGCUUACGGCUUAGCUAUCUUUAGCAUUGUAAUAUUAUUUUUAGUGUAUUUGAUUGUUUUCAUAUUUUUGUACAUGUAUGACUGUAUGUAGGUAUUAAUUACUCUUGUUACUUUCAUCUUUGUAAUGAUCGAUCAUGGUUUUUCACUGUUGAGCGGCGAACAGUGUUUUUUUGCCUGGAUCGAUCAGUAGUAUGUAUAGAAUAAGUCUUCCAUUUUUUUUUCGCCGCAUCGCCAUCGCGAUUUUUACUUUGUUUUGUGCGAUUUUAAUUCGUCGCAUGUGUUGAAACUUUAUUUGCAUAUCUCACGAAUGAUAGCUAGGUAGGUACAUAAAUCAGCGACGAAUCAAGUUAGCAUAAUGCGCCUAUAUAGGAAUGUUUUACUCAUUUUUGAACUCUUGAUCGUAUGCUAAAACAGAAAUCCAAUUACCAAAAUGCGCGUACCAUAUUGGAUUAAAUAUUUUGACCAGAGUAUUUGGCUUAGCUGUGGUAAAUGAAAUGAUGAAAUUCGGUCAUUUUUGUUUAUUAUAUGAUACGAUGUUCGAUUUGAAAGAAACUGGGAAUUUUGGCAUUUAACGUGUGAUUUUGGACGGUGAGGUAAACGUUUCUGGCUGAAAUGAAUCGCUGAAAUUGUACUCGACGUCUUUGAUUCUCUAGAUAAUCGUUUUUCGAAGAAGCUGCCUACUCGCAACUUUGCAAGGCGCAGAAAAUACAAACACGGCGUUUUUUUAGUAACGCCGCGCCGGUUUUAGUCGAUUCAAAGUCGCUGAUUCAGCCGCCCGAAUAGACAUUUUCACUGGGAAGGAAAGUGAAUUUUUUAGCUGCCGAAGAAGUUGCCUACUCACAAGGCGCAAAAAAUUCACGAA